UCGGCGGCCGCGCGCAAUAGCCUCUCAAGGGAGACCUUCCGGGGCCCCGGCCCCCCGCCGUCUCCAGCAGCAUCCGGAGCGGGAAGGGCGCCGAACUGGAAGGCGGGGGUAGGUCUCCUCGAUCAAGACCAGAGCCUUCUCCAAGCGAGUUGGGAGAGGAGCAAGAGGAGGAGGCCCAGUUUGGAGGGGAACAUAUUAUAACACGUGAUGAACUCUGAAA